GCAAAAAAAAAAAAUGGUAUAAUUCCAUUAGCUCACACUUGAGAAUAUCUUCAUGUAACAAAUAAAAACUUAUGAACUGUGAUCUUCGACCCCCAAGGAGGAAAUGUAUUUUUCAAGUGGCUUUUAAAAAUACGAGGUUAAGUUUUUUCCCCAGGAAAGUGAAUGUAGAAAAUUUGUAUUUGUAGCUCAAUCGACCGGAAGCGGCCAAUCACUUUUUUCAUUUCGUCUUCCUGCUGUGGCACAAUUCCUAAAAUGUGAAGCACUGUGAGGUGAUUCAAGCCUUUAGCAUCAGUGUGUUACACCAUCCUUAGAGCAGAGCUUAAUUGAAACAGUUGAGUUUCACUCAGAUUUGAACUGCAAGUACGAUGAGUACGUUGUUUAAAGCCAGCAUCCAAUGUGAGGGCACACAACUGUUCUUAGCUGCAGCCAAAUGAUGAGGAGGGCAGCUAGAAUUUUUAAAAAUUGGAUUUUGUUACUUUUUUGUAUUAAUGUGACAGCAACAUUAAUUCUGUUUUUUUUUAUUAAUAUGACAGAGAAAUUAAUUAUUUCCAUUUUAAAAAUAAAAUCAAAGAAAAGUUUAUUAUUACUUUUUUUUUAGUAUUAUAACAGAACAAUUUAUUUCUAUUUCUUUUAAUUAAUAUGACAAAUUAAUUAUUUCCAUUUUUAAAAUUAAUAUGACAGAAAAGUUUAAUAUUUCUUUUUUUUGUCAUACAAAAAAACAAUUUAUUUCUAUUUUUUAGCGCAAUUUCCAUACUGGACAAUUGAGAUUAUUAACUCGUCAUUUCUGGUGAUGGAUGGAUGUGUGUCCGCAGCUUUAAGUCGUAUCUCCUCCUCAAUAUCGAGGACUAGUUCCAAAGCAAAUAUGUUAAGCCAGUUCCGAGGAUGAUUGUGGGCCAAAAAAAUUCCCGGAAUUCCUUCCUGGAUUUCCCGGAAAAGCCAAAAAACCUCAAAAAAAUGCAGUUUUUGGCCCAUAUCUCGGCAACCAGACCAUAUAGCGACUUGAAACAUUUACCAAUCGAUUCCUGCAUAAGUUAGAACAAUAUUGCAGAAGAAAGUUUUCAAAAAUAUCCUUUCGUUCGGUCACAAAAAAUUAAUUAAGGAAAUUGCGCUUAAAUUGUCACUAGACUUUUUAUUAACUUGUUUUAAUUAAUAUGACAGAAAAGUUUUAGUUUUUUUAAAGUUAUUUAAGAGAAAAAUUAAUUUUUUUUUUACUUUCUUGUAUACAGGGUAUAGAGGAUGUAUUGUAAUUGUGCAAAAAAAAUAAUUAAAAAAUCCAAAUCUAAAUUUUUAAUAAAUCUCGGCGUUAUACACUUCACUGAGUUGGAAA